rnacentral:guide_RNA from 1 species
AUAAACUAUACAAUUGAGAUGCUAAUAGAAGGUUGUGAUUUAAUAUU